ensembl:lncRNA
AUCCCCAUGUCUGCAUAGAGGACCACCAAAUACCCAGGAAGAAGUCAGAAGAGAGGAGGCCUGAGGAGGUGGUCACCCUGGACAAGGCUCAGGACCACUGGAACACCUUUGACCUGAGGUGGCUGGACACCGUUGGGCCUGAUUGGCUCAGAAACGCAGAGGAGCUGACCCCAAAGGGGCAGAUAGACAUACUAUCAAGUCUCCUGUAUACGGGACAUCCCAACACUCUGUUCACAAGAGUUGUCGACAGCAGACCGAAUGUUGGAGGGUACUGCUAUGUCCACUCCACAGUUCCACCCGUCUUCUGACCAUGAGGAUAUAGGA